GGGAACUGUGAGACAGGUGCUGCAUGGCUGUCGUCAGCUCGUGUUGUGAAAUGUUGGGUUAAGUCCCGCAACGAGCGCAACCCUUAUCCUUUGUUGCCAGCGGUCCGGCCGGGAACUCAAAGGAGACUGCCAGUGAUAAACUGGAGGAAGGUGGGGAUGACGUCAAGUCAUCAUGGCCCUUACGACCAGGGCUACACACGUGCUACAAUGGCGCAUACAAAGAGAAGCGACCUCGCGAGAGCAAGCGGACCUCAUAAAGUGCGUCGUAGUCCGGAUUGGAGUCUGCAACUCGACUCCAUGAAGUCGGAAUCGCUAGUAAUCGUGGAUCAGAAUGCCACGGUGAAUACGUUCCCGGGCCUU
rnacentral:rRNA from 1 species